UCUUCUCUCUCCUUUUACUUCUCUCUUAACAAACCCUCUCUUCUUCUUAGCUUGACCGUGCGAAUCACUUUCGAUCGUCAUCGUCACUGACAUUGCUUGGAUCUCUAUCUUUGUGGGUGUUCUUCUGGUGGUUGGUCAUCGUUGUGGGCAUUCUUCCGGUGUUUGGUCGUCGUCGUGGGUGUUAUUCCAAUGGUUCGAUCUAUAGAUUUGGGUCAUUGUUUUCCCUUUGUUCAUUCCAUAUUCCAAUUGAUCAUUUUCCCUUUGUUCAAUCUCAUCCGUUAAUUGAUUUGAAAACCCAUCUGAAUUCUUACAUUUUCAAGUUCUUUCCGAAUUCCCAGCACUCAAUUCCCAGAAAAACAAUCCUGAUUUCACUUCCAUACUUGGAAAUGCUUAAAUUCAAGACGAUCAAGAAGAAAAUGUGGAUGUUCUCUCUCUGAUUCUUCAUGUGUAACUAUCUAUUUGCAUAAAUCGUUAUGGAAGGUAUGUCAAAAACCAAAGUCAUCAGUAUUGCCACAACAGUACCAGCAAGAUUUUCAGCAACAGAGUCUGUGUACAACGAAGCUUCACUCUCCAUAAGCUCUCUUUUUGGUUUGCUCCGACGAACUGGCCUCCGGGAUUACUAUCUUCAACGUUCGGUUCGUAAAUAAUUUCCGAUUACUAAUUCCUUUUUUGGGUUUUUUGGGUUUGCAAUCUAUGGCCUACUCAUACGAUGUGUCUACUUCAAACGAUCCAUUUUUACAUAGUUUAGAGAAGUUUAAUCGUGGAUUUGUGCGUGGUGGGUCAAUAUUAUCUGAGUCUUUAGUGUUGAAUGGAGAGAAGGGAGAGCUUGUGAAAGCACCAACUCAGGCGUCGAAGAAAAGGGGUUCGGAGGAAAAAGCCCUUGCGGCGUUUAGGAAGAAUCAAUUCCCAUCUCUCGAUUCUACGUGGCCUUGUUCCUUGCCCCGUUAAGGUUAGUCAUAUUUAGCUACAGUUUUGUGUUAAUUUGUCUAAAUUGAUAUUAAAUUCGAUAAUUGGUUGAUCUAGAUUGCUGAAAGACUAGUAAGUAUUUCAUUGAAUGAUCACUAAUUUUCUGACUGUAAGGUAUGCUUGGAGUGAUUUUGAUGGAGUUAAAAUCAUGUCAUGUUUAAAAUCAUUUUAAAAUGUGGAUUUAACAUCUAAAAUCAAUUUAAUGUUUGAUUUCAUAUUUCAAAAUAUGAAUUCCAUACAAUCUAACUACAAGAAUUGGUUCUAGUUAAUCAUUAUUUCAGGAGUCUAAUUGGAUUAUCAAUUUAAUUAUGUGAUGGAAACUGAAGCUUUUUAGUGUGGCAUUGACCAGUGAUGGUGUAUCUUUGUUGAUGUUUUGAGUUGGAGUGGGAGUGGGAGCAAAUGGUGGUAUGUCCUUCGAGGUCUUCUUUCAUUUGUCUGGAAUUGGUAUUGAAAAGUUGACAACUAACUUGUUUUGUUUGACAUUUUUCUUGUACUUCUAUUCAUGUUGAUUGAUCGUAAAUGAACUCUUCCGAUUCGUGAUAUCUGGCUUAAGCUUACUUGUGUACUUGGAGUUUGGAUUAGUUUCCAUGUUGGUGAUUUCGUGCGUUGCUUCUUUUGCAGUUGAUAUGACAAAACACCUUGUUCCAAUGCAGUAUCCCAAUGAAUUGUUGCGUAAAAUUUCUAGCUUAUACUACAUUUUCCCUCUAGAUUGCACUAAUGUCAUUGGGAUACUGCAGGUUUAAAAAUUAUUGAUGAUAAAUGUCCAGCACGUACUUUCUUUAUUAGCAUCAUUAAUCUUAUGAAUUUAAUUCAUAUUGUUGUUUGAACAUUAUUGGAAGUAUUUUCUUUGUUGUUUACAUCCUUUCUUGCAACUUAAUAUGGGAUUUUUUUUGUGUUUGUUUUUAGAUGAAGUGCUUGAUUUUGUAGGUUUCCAAAGGAGGUUCCAUGGGUAUAUAUAAAUCUUCAAAUCAAUUUAAUUUUGCCUUGAAAGAAUUGAUCUGAAGUAAUGAUGGAGUUCAAUAUUGAUCAAUAUUAGCCUGUGAUUUUUUUUUACUAUAGCUUCAUCUUCUUAGGGAAUGUGCAUUUAAGAAAAGUUUUUUUUUAAUAGGUUGCACACAUACUUUGUGACUUUGGCUUUUCGAGGCAUCGAAGAUGUGAAAGCUUAAUCAUAAAAUCCAAUGAAGAAGGAAGUCCUUCUUUGGAUAUGGAUCAAAUCUAUUGCUUAUUAUAGUUAUCAUUAGAUAUUGGUUGUAAUCAAUCUUCAAGCACGAUCUCCAACACCAUUUGUUUUCUUCAAAAUGGAAACCUAUAAAGUUCAAUACAAAAAAUGCAUAUACCUAAAGAGAGAUGACGUAAUUCGAACACAAUGGCAAGUUGGAUGGUCUGAGGUGAAUAUCAAAGUAAUUAGACAAUCUGCUUGCUAGCAUUCAAACAACAUUAUUACAAAUAUGGAUAAUUUGAGCACAAUGGUUUCAAAUGUCUUAUACUGGAGUCCAUAAGCAGUCAAGGAGCUUUGAGGGAAAAUUGUUUUCACCCAUAUGCACACUCAUCCUUCACGAGUCCUAUUGUUUCCCCACUAAAGGUAGGUCCUAAAGAUUCUUACCCUAAAGGGAAUACAAAGGUUUCCGCUUGGUGUUGUCCUUUUUGGGUGUUCGUCGUGUUUGUGCAAUUCGGAGUGGAGGAUACAUGAAGAUCUUUAUGACUUCAAGGGUAAAUUCUUUUUGAAAACCCUAAUUUUAUCUCUUUUUCUUCAAUUAAAUCAUGGUGUAAAUUUAAUGCAUAAUGUUUUUGUCCCUGAAUGAUUUGGCUUUUG